rnacentral:tRNA from 1 species
CAAAGUAUAGCRUAACCAAAGCCUCUCGCUUACACCGAGAACAUAUCUGUUUGACUCAGAUUAUUUUGA